rnacentral:rRNA from 1 species
GACGAACGCUGGCGACGUGCCUAAUACAUGCAAGUCGAACGAGAGCGACCGGUGCUUGCACUGGUCAAUCUAGUGGCGAACGGGUGAGUAACACGUGGGUAACCUGCCCAUCAGAGGGGGAUAACAUCCGCAAACGGAUGCUAAAACCGCAUAGGUUUUCGAGCCGCAUGGCUUAAGAGGAAAAGAGGCGCAAGCUUCUGCUGAUUGAUGGACCCGCGGUGCAUUAGCUAGUUGGUGAGGUAACGGCUCACCAAGGCCGUGAUGCAUAGCCGACCUGAGAGGGUGAUCGGCCACAUUGGGACUGAGACACGGCCCAAACUCCUACGGGAGGCAGCAGUAGGGAAUCUUCCGCAAUGGACGCAAGUCUGACGGAGCAACGCCGCGUGAGUGAAGAAGGUUUUCGGAUCGUAAAAACUCUGUUGUUAGAGAAAGAAACAAACUGCUAG